GUGAUAACACAUGAAAGUGGAGUGAUGAGUGCUGGAUAAAUUGCUAGCGGCGGACGGGUGCGUAACACGUGGGUAACCUGCCCCUAUCACUGGGAUAACACGACUGAAAAGUGUGCUAAUACCAGAUAACAUAAGCUUUUGGCAUCAUUAGCUUAUCAAAGAAUUUCGGAUAGGGAUGGGCCCGCGUCUGAUUAGCUUGUUGGUGAGGUAACGGCUCACCAAGGGCAACGAUCAGUAGCCGACCUGAGAGGGUGAUCGGCCACACUGGAACUGAGACACGGUCCAGACUCCUACGGGAGGCAGCAGUGGGGAAUAUUGCACAAUGGGCGAAAGCCUGAUGCCAGCAACGCCGCGUGAGCGAUGAAGGCCUUCGGGUCGUAAAGCUCUGUCCUAUGGGAAGAUAAUGACGGUACCAUAGGAGGAAGCCCCGGCUAACUACGUGCCAGCCGCCGC
rnacentral:rRNA from 1 species